rnacentral:rRNA from 1 species
UGGGGAAUAUUGCACAAUGGAGGGAACUCUGAUGCAGCGACGCCGCGUGAACGAAGAAGGCUUUCGAGUCGUAAAGUUCUUUUAUAUGGGAAGAUAAUGACGGUACCAUAAGAAGAAGCCCCGGCUAACUACGUGCCAGCAGCCGCGGUAAUACGUAGGGGGCUAGCGUUGUCCGGAAUCACUGGGCGUAAAGGGUUCGCAGGCGGAAAUGCAAGUCAGGUGUAAAAGGCGGUAGCUUAACUACUGUAAGCAUUUGAAACUGCAUAUCUUGAGAAGAGUAGAGGUAAGUGGAAUUUUUAGUGUAGCGGUGAAAUGCGUAGAUAUUAAAAAGAAUACCGGUGGCGAAGGCGACUUACUGGGCUCAUUCUGACGCUGAGGAACGAAAGCGUGGGUAGCAAACAGG